ACCAACCGGGAUUGCCUUAGUAACGGCGAGUGAAGCGGCAAAAGCUCAAAUUUGAAAUCUGGUACCUUCGGUGCCCGAGUUGUAAUUUGGAGAGGGCAACUUUGGGGCCGUUCCUUGUCUAUGUUCCUUGGAACAGGACGUCAUAGAGGGUGAGAAUCCCGUGUGGCGAGGAGUGCGGUUCUUUGUAAAGUGCCUUCGAAGAGUCGAGUUGUUUGGGAAUGCAGCUCUAAGUGGGUGGUAAAUUCCAUCUAAAGCUAAAUAUUGGCGAGAGACCGAUAGCGAACAAGUACAGUGAUGGAAAGAUGAAAAGAACUUUGAAAAGAGAGUGAAAAAGUACGUGAAAUUGUUGAAAGGGAAGGGCAUUUGAUCAGACAUGGUGUUUUGUGCCCUCUGCUCCUUGUGGGUAGGGGAAUCUCGCAUUUCACUGGGCCAGCAUCAGUUUUGGUGGCAGGAUAAAUCCAUAGGAAUGUAGCUUGCCUCGGUAAGUAUUAUAGCCUGUGGGAAUACUGCCAGC
rnacentral:rRNA from 1 species